AGAUCGUGUUGAGGAUAACUUCUAAGCAAGCCCUUGUACCUCUCAUAUGCUUCAUAUAAGGAUUCUAUAACCUCUUGUUGAAAAUUAGCAAUCUUCUUCUUGAGUUU